rnacentral:rRNA from 1 species
AGAGAGAGACAUGCGCGCAUAUCAAUAAGCGGAGGAAAAGAAACUAACAAGGAUUCCCCUAGUAACGGCGAGUGAAGCGGGAAGAGCUCAAAUUUGAAAUCUUAAAGGGUUUCCCUUUACGAAUUGUAGUUUAAAGAAGUGUUUUCUGUUGAGGUUUUGGUAAAAGUUCUUUGGAAUAGGACAUCAUAGAGGGUGAGAAUCCCGUAUUUGACCUUUACUUUCAACUUUGUGAUACACUUUCAAAGAGUCGGAUUGUUUGGGAAUGCAGUCCAAAAUGGGUGGUAAAUUUCAUCUAAAGCUAAAUAUUGCGAGAGACCGAUAGCGAACAAGUACCGUGAGGGAAAGAUGAAAAGAACUUUGAAAAGAGAGUUAAACAGUACGUGAAAUUGUCAAAAGGGAAGCGUUUGACACCAGUGUUGUUUUUCUGAAAAUCAAUUAAAGAACUGUUUAUGCUAAGCUGUUUAGACUUUAUCAGCUAUACUGUUUAGUUUUGAGCUUUUCUUUAAUGCACUUUUCAGUUAACAAGUCAACAUCAAUUUCUUUUGCUGUAAAAAAGCUUGAGGAAGGUGGCUUGAGAUUCGUCUUAAGUGUUUAUAGCCUCUUGCCUAUGCAGUCGGAGAGAUUGAGGUCUGCAGCGUAGAUCCUUCGGGGCUAAAUGCAUUUGUGCUAAGUUAUAGCAUUUUAUAGACAACUUGUUGACUAUGAUUUGUCUUGUAGCUUACUCGCUUAUGUUAUUUUACCUACGCUUAGGAUGUUGACGCAUGAGAUAUACGC